rnacentral:rRNA from 1 species
GACACGCUGGCGGGUGGAUUAGCAUGCAAGUCGACGUAUCAUCCUUCGGGGGUGAGAGAGUGGCGAACUGGUGAGUAACACGUAGGUUAUCUACCCUCAAGACGGGGACAACCCAGGGAAACUUGGGCUAAUACCGGAUGUGAGCAACUUUUAGUGUUUGAAAGGUGGCGUAAGCUGUCGCUUGGGGAUGAGCCUGCGUCCUAUUAGUUAGUUGGUGAGGUAACGGCUCACCUAGGCAAUGAUAGGUAGGCGGCCUUAACGGGUGGUCGCCCACACUGGGAUUGAGAUACGGCCCAGACUCCUACGGGAGGCAGCAGUCGAGAAUAGUCUACAAUGGUCGGAAGACUGAUAGUGCGACGCCGCGUGAACGAUGAAUCCCUUCGGGGUGUAAAGUUCUUUUAUAUGUGAGCAGUGCUUCUUAUAUUAACAGUAUGGGGAGAGAGAUAUUAGCAUAUGAAUAAGCAACGGCUAACUCCGUG